ensembl:lncRNA
GGUUCAAAAUGCUCAGGACACAGCUCUCGCCAUUGUGUGUGUACCCGCCCUUCCUGCCGGGGCCCCGCUUCUUGGAUUUUCUUUUACCACCAGAAGCAGCUCCCUCUGGGUCCAAGGGCGGCGGGUCUGGGCCCGACGCCUGCAGGUGUCCUCGGCCAUGGGUAACCGCGCGGCCCCUCGGGUGACCUUGUCCGACUGUGAGGGUCUCUGCGGAGAGCGGCCGCCCGCUCUGUCCAGCCCCGGAGUCACAGCCGCUCUGCAGCGCGGGGUGUGUGACACACCACCAGCAUUUCCUCCGAACGGGAAUAGAAAACGGGCCGUCUGCCGAGUGUGUUUAGGGAAAGUAGUUUUUGCUCUUAUGCUGCAAAGAAAGGACGGUCACUUGCCGAGUUGUCGUGCCCCCAGCACUGCCGGGCUAUCGGGGGCGUCUCUGCAGAAGGCCUCCCAGCCGGGCUCAUGCCGCAGCUCAGCCCUGCCUCCGCAGGGACGGUCCCCUCCUGCCAUCAGACCGCGUCCUGCUGAGCCACCACCGCCCCCCGCCGCCCCCCCCCCACCCCGCGCCUGCCCCGGGGGCACAGGGCAACUCAGCAGAAGAGAGAGGUUGGAAGGAUUGGUGCCUCUGGGUGUGACGAGAACCCCGUGUCCCCAUCACAUCCGAGUGGAUGUCUGAGCAGCCGCUGUGGGAGGUCCAAUCUGUCGGGAAAACUGUCCCUGUUCCUGACCCGAGCAGCACGGUGCCCCUGCCGCCUGCUGACGGGAGGCCUCCUGCGGACUGGCCGCUGGCCAGGAGCAGGGCGCUGGUGCUGUGUUCUCACGCAGGGCUGGAAUGAAGAACUCCUCGAGCGAGCGAGCCUCAGGACCCUCGGUGUCUUUUCCUUUCCCUAACGGUUUUCGCUGCUCAGUGUUUUAGAAGAGAGUGAAGGCAGCAGUCACUUUGUUUCUAGGCUUCUUCCUUUCUCUCCAGGGAGGAGCCCCACUCAGAGGAUUUCGUUCAUUCCUUGUACCUGCUUACCAUGCUGGUAGCGAUUGGGAAGAGGUUGAGAGAAGACGAAGCGGACACGCUUCUCCACUUGGGCUGACGUGCCCAAAACUGGCUGCACGGGGCCCGCACCCCCGGCCGGAUGAGCCAGGGUGUCUUCGGUUUAUGCCUCUGGGUUUUAGUCUCCCUUUCGCGUCCAAGGGAGACGUGAGAGGUCUCCAAACUACUCUCGCCUUUCUGCCCCAACCCGGUUAUUUUAAGAGUCAAGAUAGAAUUGGAAGAAUUCUAGUUCACUAUUCUUUAUUUGAGAAUCUUUUCCGGAAUCGUUGGCUCAUUUGAUUUCGUCCAAAUACUUAUUGGUGGUUUACUCCGUGUCAGAAACAGUAAAAAGUGCAGGGGAGGCCAGACCCUAGAGGGACAUGGCCAUUUAGACCUGCGACCCCGCCCCCGGGGUUAACGUUCCAGUGGUCUGACACUUUAAAAAGAUUCUGUGCUUCCUGUGUAAAGGUUUUCUUACCUGCAGUAAUAGGACUUGCUCCUCUGAGCUGUUGCCCAGAGCCACGAGGAGUGCUGUGACCUGUCCCCAAAUUCUGAACGUAUUGGCUGAGCUGGAAUGAGGCCUGUGACUCUGAAAUGGAAUUUUUGUGCACAAAGCUAACUGGCCUAAAGGGGAUCGAGCUACACCUGUGGCCUCUUAAGAUCUUAGCCUCUAAAGGUCCAAAAAAAUUUUUUUAAUCAGUAAAAAUAGGAUUUAAAACUCCCAACACUUUAAGUUUGGCCCUUACCUCCUCCCCUCCCAGCUUCCUUUCAGGAAGGGCUUUCUGAAUACCUUGUAGCCCAGAACUGGCUCGAUUUCUAGCUCAGGACGGGGAUCCAGGAGGAAAGAAGAAAGUGUGUCCCUGCUCGUGGCUUACACUCGGGCCCUGACGUUGGGCAGCUUGGUGCACGUGGGGGAGGGUUAAACCCAGCACGGAUUGUUCCUUCUUCUCUGACACAGAAUUCUCCUGUAAAGAUCAUUUGGGGGGGGCGGGUGUUGUUAGGGGCGUGUCUGUGUGAGUGGUGGUUGUUUUUUUUUUUUAAUGGUGUCUGUCUAGAGUAUUUUUCACAAUAUGUUUAAUCAUCAGUGCUUUAAAAAGUGGUGGUAUCCUGUACAGUGAAUUAGGUCCCGGAGCGUUGGAUGGGAAGCUGCACCACCUGUGAGUGUGAUCGGGCCUGUGGGACACCCAGGAGGGUCGGCACAAACCCCGGCACGGGGACGAGAGGACGGGGUGGGGCCCACCGCAGCUGGGCCGGCCUGCGUUUUCAUUUCAAAUGGGAUACAGUAUUUUUUUAAUAAGGAGCCAUACUUUUUUUUUUUUUAAAGUUUGAGAUCUGAAUGUGAUUUCUAAUUGUACCAGACGUUAAUGUUUUAAAGCUAUAACAAAGUUUAAAAUUUCUACUUUUUGUUUCUCAUUUAUUUUAACUGUUCUUUUAUCUAUUAAAUCGUUGUAUGUGGAUGGGGAAGUUUUGUUUCUCCUCUUAGCAUUUGUUUCUAUAACCAGAAAUAAAAUUAUAUAUU